GACGAACGCUGGCGGCGUGCUUAACACAUGCAAGUCGAACGGAAAGGCCCUGCUUUUGUGGGGUGCUCGAGUGGCGAACGGGUGAGUAACACGUGAGUAACCUGCCCUUGACUUUGGGAUAACUUCAGGAAACUGGGGCUAAUACCGGAUAUGAGCUCCUGCUGCAUGGUGGGGGUUGGAAAGUUUCGGCGGUUGGGGAUGGACUCGCGGCUUAUCAGCUUGCUGGUGGGGUAGUGGCUUACCAAGGCUUUGACGGGUAGCCGGCCUGAGAGGGUGACCGGCCACAUUGGGACUGCGAUACGGCCCAGACUCCUACGGGAGGCAGCGGUGGAGAAUCUUGCGCAAUGGGCGGAAGCCUGAUGCAGCAACGCCGCGUGCGGGAUAACGGCCUUCGGGUUGUAAACCGCUUUCGCCUGUGACGAAGCGUGAGUGACGGUAAUGGGUAAAGAAGCACCGGCUAACUACGUG
rnacentral:rRNA from 1 species